rnacentral:rRNA from 1 species
AUGAACGCUGGCGGUGUGCCUAACACAUGCAAGUCGCACGGUCGCAAGACAGUGGCAAACGGGUGAGUAAUACGCAGGGAUCUGCCCCAAACUGGGAAAUACCCCGCCGAAAGGUGGGUUAAUGUCCCAUAGUCCGGAAACGGUAAAGAUUUAUCGGUUUGGGAGGAACCUGCGUCCUAUCAGCUAGUUGGUGAGGUAAUGGCUCACCAAGGCUAUGACGGGUAGCUGGUCUGAGAGGAUGAUCAGCCACAAUGGGACUGAGAUACGGCCCUUACUCCUACGGGAGGCAGCAGUUGGGAAUAUUGCGCAAUGGACGAAAGUCUGACGCAGCGACACCGCGUGAUCGAUGAAGCUUUUCGGAGUGUAAGAUCUUUUCUCUGGGAAGAUUAUGACGGUACCAGAGGAAUAAGAGCCUGCUAACUACGU